UACAGAGGGUGCAAGCGUUUGUUCGGAAUUAUUGGGCGUAAAGCGCGUGUAGGCGGCUUUGCAAGUCGGGUGUGAAAGCCCUCAGCUUAACUGAGGAAGUGCGCCCGAAACUGCAGAGCUUGAGUACCGGAGAGGAUGGCGGAAUUCCCCAAGUAGAGGUGAAAUUCGUAGAUAUGGGGAGGAACACCGGUGGCGAAGGCGGCCAUCUGGACGGAUACUGACGCUGAGACGCGAAAGCGUGGGUAGCAAACAGG
rnacentral:rRNA from 1 species